rnacentral:rRNA from 1 species
CCCUUAGAUGUCCUGGGCUGCACGCGCGCUACACUGAUGUGUCCAGUAAGCACCUAACCUCUUCCGAAAGGAACGGGUAACCUUUGCAAAGCACAUCGUGAUGGGGAUAGAUUAUUGCAAUUAUUAGUCUUGAACGAGGAAUUCCUAGUAAGCACAAGUCAUCAGCUUGUGUUGAUUACGUCCCUGCCCUUUGUACACACCGCCCGUCGCUCCUACCGAUUGAAUGUUCCGGUGAGCUCUUCGGACUGCGCGGUCUGCAGUUUCUGCGUUCCGUGCGGAAAGUUGCGCAAACCUUAACAUUUAGAGGAAGGAGAAGUCGUGACA